GUAUCCUCGUAGAGGCAGGACAGGACGCAAACCAACCAAGACAGAUCCUAAUACGGAGAGCAGGAUCCCAUUGCUUAUGAGCUUAGAUAUAUAUGUGCCAAGGGACGAGCGAUUUGGACAUGUGAAGAUGUCAGACUUCUUGACAUUUGCUUUGAAAUCCAUUUCUCAGCUCCUCCUCCCCGAGUUUAAGGCUUUAUUUGAUAGCACGCCUAAUGAAUUUGAUAGCUU
rnacentral:misc_RNA from 1 species